AUGAAUUCUGAGCCUUCAACACUAGGCCAAAUCACUUCAAAAUGAUCCUUGAAUCAUGUGAACUCAUUGCCCCAACCCUAGGGCUUUGAUCUCAUGGACAAUGCUCUUGCUUGCUUGCAUAGUUGAAUCUCCUAACCAGUCUUGCCUGAUGACAUGAUGGACUAUGCAAUGACAAUGCAAUGUUAAUGACCUAAACAUGAAAUGUAUAUACAAAUGGGAGGUGCAAAUUUGAGGUGCUACAUAUGGCAUGCUCUUUCCUACCUGUCUCGUCAUGUUGACCGAGAACACAACCCAUGAAAUUGUCUAGUACUGUGAAAUACAUAAUCAGCGGUCUCCCUGGGACCGGAGGCACAAG
rnacentral:lncRNA from 1 species